UCAGUCAGCACAAGCACAGGGCCUGUUCAUUCCUUUGUAAAGACAUUGCUCCCUAGCAAAUGCAAGAGCUUGGGAUUCCCAACGAUUCUAUGGACAUCAUUUAUUCAAAGCCAAAAAUAGCCUGGAUAUAAGCUGACAGCUUGUCCUUCAGAGAGGUGCUGGCUGACAUCAUUGCAAUAUCACUCUUAGUAGUCUUGGAAAGAUCUCAACAACUGGGAGAGCUGCUUGAGGACUACAGGAUGGAACCAGAGGCAAUGGGCACAAGAUGAAACACAGAAUGUUCUCUAUGAACACCAGGGAAUACAUUUUCACUGUGAGGGUGACUGAGCAGUGGCAUAGGUUGCCUAGAAAGCUUAUCAAAAGAGCUUUACUCUGCUCAGCAAUGGAGUAUGAGGAACAAACUUGGGGCAACUUUUAACUCCUGUCAGAAAUUACUACCUACUCUGGAGAUUAACCCAGGUGAUGAAAAGACAAUCUUCUGCCUUCACACAUCUGAAUAUCCAUCUGCACAGCCUCUCAAGAUUAGACACAUUACUGACAAAUGCUGUAAUACUUCAUUUUCUGCCUUACCCUUUAUUGCACUUUUACACCUGAUGAAGUGUCUAUGGUUAGCAGAAGAUUAUUUCUAUAGCAGCAGCUAGGCAGAGCUGAUGUACUUCAUGGGCAUUUCUAAUAGUUCAUCAGAACCAGCAGAAUGACUACAGGUCUUAGCAGCAUAAAAUCAGCAGUUUUUGCUUACACUGACACAUAUAUAUUAUUAAUGUAAUGAAAAAAACAUAUAUUAUUUUUAUCAUUAAUAAAAUCCAAAUUAAUAUAAUGGACCAGUGAAUUUCUAGCAUUAUUGUUUGUUCAGCCAUCCCAGCAAGCCAGAAUUAACAUUAAACUGGAUAGAAAACAACUACUAAAAAGUAGCUGAAUUAAAAAUUUCUAAAAUUUUCCAAAUAUUUUCAUUCUUCAAAAAUUAAAAAUAUAGUCAGCAAUUAAAACUUCUUAUUCUUUAAUUUGAGCCACAUAGUAAACAUCACUAAAAAUUUUUGGCCUCUUAAAAGACUUUUACAGAUAUUAAACCAAUUUGAUAUUACUGAAUGAUUUCUCUGGAGGCUCAGUAUUUAGGUGUGUAUUUUGACCACAUGCAAGCAUUUCUCCUCUCACAUAUAAAUUUUACUAUUGCUGAUACUUUCAGUGCAGCUUGACAUAUCUGUUGAAAUGCAAUGGAAUCAGGUAUUUGAGCUCUGAAUCUCAUUUGGUAAACCUCAAGCCGACACCUGAUUUCAGGAACCAAAGU